CCACCAGUGGGGAAGGAUCUCUUUUGGAGAUCUACUCCCCUGGAGUUUCAUAGAGAGCCGAGGAUAUGGAAUUCGUUCCAAUAAGAAAAUGCUGUUAUUGGUUGGAGGAUUGCCUCCUGGACCUGACCGGCUACCCAGCAAUUUGGUUCAGUAUUAUGAUGAUGAAAAGAAGACGUGGAAAAUACUGACAAUCCAUGCCAGCGACAUUUGGAGGUAGGGAUACAAUCUGGCAAACUUGCUCCUGGGUGCAUCCACUGAAGAGGAGAUGUGGUCUCCUCUCACCCUCUACUGAGAGGAGCCCCAGAAGUUAUUCAGUGGGAUCUGCGAACUAAUGUGCAGACAGGUGCUUGCUUCUUGUGUUUCUUCCUUUCUUUUCUCUUUGGAGUGGCUGUUGGACCUAUUUCUUUACUUAGGGUUCUGUGUCCUGCCUUGUGCAAUGUACAGGGAACGCAAAACGCCAGCCGUCAGGAACUGCUGCCUCCAUGUAAGCCAUAGCUCUGUAUUUGGAGCCGUGAAGAUGGUUACAGGUGGAACAGCACAAGCUAUUGAGUAUGACAGCUCAGCAGAGUAGCAAUCUCAUUUUGUUCCCACUACGAGACUAGAUCUAUUGGCAGGGGAUACUGCCCACCUCUCUCUGCCUGGCUACCCAAAGCACCAAACGCAUCAGUACUAAUGGGAGUAAUUCUAAAGGAAUCAGGAAAACAACUUGCCUUGUUCAUAGAUCCAGAAGAGGAGGGGAAGCGUGCACCCAUUUCCAAUUUUUUAAUGUCAUCAUCUAUAGGCAAGAAUGCUAUGGCUCAAGGGAUCGGUAGAUUUUUCACAGUCUAGUAUUACUGUGUAUAUUUCCUGUCUUGUAUUUCUCAGAGUUAUUUUUUCUAUGUUGGCAACAAAGGAUAGAGACAGAAAAAGAGAGAACAAGUGGCAUUUCACAAACAUUUUCUGCCACCUUAUUUUAUUUGAUGGGGUCACAGUCCUAACCUGAGAUUCAUAAGGUGCAGAUUUCUGUAUAAUUUGAAACAUUUCUUAUUGUACAGUCAUGCCUGAGCAAAGUUGAGGAUUUUAUAGACUGUAUGGCCAAGUACAGCAAACGGAUCUUUAGUGUUUUCUUUCCAGCCUUGCUUACACAUACACACCCCUGGUUCGUUUUUUAACCGAGUGCUGCCUAUGUCAUGUAACAGCACCAGGCUGCUGCUGGCAGUGACACAAACUGAAGCUGAUGGGUAUUUGAUAAUCCUUACAAACAGUGAAGUUCUGCUCUCUGAAGGGUUUUGCAUUAUUCUAUGAGGUUUUACUGUCCUUGUAACUACUUACUGGGUGCAUGACAAUCAGGGGUCCCCAUAUCGCAACCUUAUGCCUCAUUGGCCAGAACCAGUCACCACUACUUCUAUUUUAAUUAUGAGCUACAGCUCUGCCAGGAAUCAUGGAACUCCUUUGGUUGUUUGCUUUAUCUGCAAUGUUUAAGAUUAAUUAAACUUUAAAGAUGUGAAAUAAUGUUUUAUUUGUUAGAAUUAUUCUGUAAUCAAUGCAAGUUUCAAAAAAAUGAAGCCUACAAAGACUUUUUUUUCAUGUUCAGAAUUGUAUAGCUCUCCCAAAAACCCUACUGCUAAGGCAAUGAUGUAUUACUUUCACUUUCAUUAUAUGUUUUUAAUCAGAGCGUGACUUCACACUAGACAAAGCGAUGCUUUAUGCAUGGUCUCACUUGUUUUUUGCUAAAAUCUUUUGACAUGAUUAAUUUUACUUUAAUGCUUUUGUCUUGUUGUAAUGGUAAAGAUGAUGAGUAUAAACCAGGACAAAAAAUACAUGCUUUUCUGUCAUAAUGCCUCUGAGCAUUUAAAAAAUAUAUUAAAUGAAAGAAAAAAAUAUCACAAGAGACUGAUCCAACUGGAAUUAAAUUUCUUGCUACCUGAACAGAGAAUGAAAGAAAUAAAUAAAAAUGAUG